rnacentral:rRNA from 1 species
CCUACGGGAGGCAGCAGUGAGGAAUAUUGGUCAAUGGGCGCGAGCCUGAACCAGCCAAGUCGCGUGAAGGAUGACUGCUCUACGGGUUGUAAACUUCUUUUAUAAAGGAAUAAAGUGAGGCACGUGUGCCUUUUUGUAUGUACUUUAUGAAUAAGGAUCGGCUAACUCCGUGCCAGCAGCCGCGGUAAUACGGAGGAUCCGAGCGUUAUCCGGAUUUAUUGGGGUUAAAGGGUGCGUAGGUGGAUUGUUAAGUCAGAUGUGAAAACUUGCGGCUCAACCGUAAAAUUGCAGUUGAAACUGGCAGUCUAGAGUACAGUAGAGGUGGGCGGAAUUCGUGGUGUAGCGGUGAAAUGCUUAGAGAUCACGAAGAACUCCGAUUGCGAAGGCAGUUCACUGGACUGCAACUGACGCUGAGGCGCGAAAGUGUGGGGAUCAAACAGGAUUAGAUACCCGUGUAGUC